CCACUGCGCUUGGCCAGAUUGAAUCUUUAGUUAGAAAACAAAAAAUUCCCUGGUAGCAUAUUUUUUGUUUUGACCUUUUCUAGAGUGUUGCUGAGACGGUGACAGAGGGAGCGCUGUCGAAUUGAGGAUUCGGGUGAAGUGAGCCUCGGCUCACCAGGGUUUCUCACCGCAGGGCGAGGGGUGGCAGUCUGGCUUGAGUUUGUUUCCUCUUUGCAGCUUUUCACACAACCUUAGCAGUGAAAGGGGGCAUCCACUUUGCUGUGUUGAUAGGGUCACAGGGCUUGUGAUGUGGCUCCUCUGAGGGCUCACGGCACGGUCGUGGUCAACCUGGGAUUUGAACCCAGACCUCUCUGCUCCCUGUCCAGCGUUUCUCUGGUGUGCCCAGCAUGGGGGACACAGAUCCCAGUUGGGCCCAUCAGCUGGAGGCUCAGACCCACAGCCUUCUGUGGGCAAUGCUUAGAAAUGG
rnacentral:lncRNA from 1 species